rnacentral:lncRNA from 1 species
UUAAGGAGAGAGCUUCCGAAUAAAAAAACAAAAACAAAAAAGAAACAUCAAAAAAAUAUUAUGGCGGAGGGGCAAUCCCCACAGAACUCACCUCCGUCAUCUACACCUCCAUCUCCUCCCUCCUCCGACAACACUCAACAGCAAUCUCCUCCGUCUCCUGACUCAUCCUCCUCCUCUCCUCCUUCGUCUUCACCACCAGCUACUCCUCCGCCCGACAAUGCUUCCUCUCCUCCACCGCCGGAUAAUGCUUCCUCUCCUCCACCGCCUUCUUCAGACUCACAAUCUCCACCAUCUCAACCACAAGGCAACAAUAACAACAACAACAACAAUGGUGGAAACAAUGACAACAACAACAACAAUAACAAUGGUGGAGGAAGCAACAAUGGUAAUAACAACAACAAUGGGAAUAGCAACAAUGGUGGUAACAAUAAUAAUGGCAACAGUGGUGGAGGAAGCAACAAUAAUUCUCCUUCGCCUCCUUCUAGAAACAACAAUGGUGGAGGAAGCAACAAUAACUCUCCUUCCCCGCCAAGAUCGCUAGCUCCGCCUAGAUCAAGCGGUGGUGGCUCAAACUCGUCACGUAACGAUGUUAACACGGGUGCUAUCAUAGGUAUCGCGGCUGGUGCUGGUUUGUUGCUUCUUGUUAUGAUCUUGUUCUGCGUCUGUUGCUGUCGCAAGAAGAAAAAGAAGCAUCAGAUGCCGUACUACGCAAGCAGUGGCUACGCCACAGGCAAAGGUAAACACAUUAAUAGUCAACGCCAAGUCACAAACCUAAUCCCUUCUAGCCUAACCUAGUUUCUGUUUUUGGAACCUUUCUUGUGCACCAAGAUAACUCAAUGAAUAACCUGACUCAACAAAAUCUUCUUACCUUCAAACCGCAUUUCAAAGUUUUUUGUGGAAAUCCCAGUAAAUUUUAUUUUCUUGUUACUCAAGAAAGAAGGUUAAACAAAGUCACCAGCCUUACCGUCGUCGUAGCAUAACCUAGUUUCUGUUUUGGAACCUUUCUUGUGCACCAAAAUAACUCAAUAAAUAACCCAACGAAAUAAAAUCUUCUUUACCUUCAAAGCACAUUUCAAAGCUUCAUAAUCUUUUUUACAUACAGAGAAUUUGAUAUGUUGGUGGAAAACCCAUCAAAUAUUGUUUUCUUGUAUCCCAAGAAAUAAGGUUAAACAAAGUCUCCGUUUUGUUAAUCUUCUUAGGUGGGGGUGAUCAAUACCAACAACAGUACAACCAAAGCGGUCAUGUAAUGAAUAUGUCUGGUCAAUACUCUGGAUCAAACAACGGUAAUAACAAUUGGAUGAAUUCACCACCUCCACCACCACCUGGAAGCUGGCAACCAUCUCAACCAC